GACGAACGCUGGCGGCGUGCUUAACACAUGCAAGUCGAACGGAAAGGCCCUGCUUUUGUGUGGUGCUCGAGUGGCGAACGGGUGAGUAACACGUGAGUAACCUGCCCUUGACUUUGGGAUAACUUCAGGAAACUGGGGCUAAUACCGGAUAGGAUCUCCUGCUGCAUGGUGGGGGUUGGAAAGUUUCGGCGGUUGGGGAUGGACUCGCGGCUUAUCAGCUUGUUUGUGGGGUAGUGGCUUACCAAGGCUUUGACGGGUAGCCGGCCUGAGAGGGUGACCGGCCACAUUGGGACUGAGAUACGGCCCAGACUCCUACGGGAGGCAGCAGUGGGGAAUAUUGCACAAUGGGCGGAAGCCUGAUGCAGCAACGCCGCGUGCGGGAUGACGGCCUUCGGGUUGUAAACCGCUUUCGCCUGUGACGAAGCGUGAGUGACGGUAAUGGGUAAAGAAGCACCGGCUAACUACGUG
rnacentral:rRNA from 1 species